ensembl:lncRNA
CUUCUUUAGAUAAUCCUGAUUUUUAAGGCUGCUGUGGGAGUGCUGGAGUUGUAAAGCAGAUAUAUAGGAGCUGCAAUAAUUUCAUAGCCCUUCUUUCCCUCUGGCUUUUGGGGAAUUACCCAUCAUAACAGGAGUAUCCAGAGCAGCUGUGGCUGCCCUUGGGUCCCUGGAAGUGUCCAAGGCCAGGUUGGAUGGGGCUUGGAGCAUCCUGGGAUAGUGGGAGAUGUCCCUGCUCAUGGCAGGAGGUUGGAAUGGGAUGAUCUUUAAGAUUCCUUCCAACCCAAACCAUUCUGGGAUUCUGUGAAAGACAAGAAACUAUCUUACUCUGUAAAUAUUCAUAUACAGGAAACAUCCAGUGAGUUUUCCUCCCCUGCCUAAGCCAUGUUAUAUAAUGCCCCAAGGGAAAAAAAAACACAAAAACCAAAAAAUAAAACCAAAACUGCCCCACUCCCCCCUAAAAAAAAAACAAAACAACAAUAAAUAAAAGAACUCAAACCAAUCAAAAAAUCCAAAGAAAAAAAUCCAGGAUGAAGAUCACCCAGAAACAGUCUGAUUUUUAUUAGUGCCAAAACCCCCAUUAACUGCUGGUAUAUAUAUAUAUGUAUAUAUAUAUAUAUAUGUGCUGAAUAUGAAAUAUCCAGUAGAGGAGAUUCAGGGGUGUAGGAGCAGAUGACCUUUUAGGGUCCCUUCCAACACAAAGUUUUCCAUAAUUCUAUGAUCCUAAAGCCACAGGGGUGAAGUGAAGGCCUCCAAGAGGUGUCUCAGGGUAGAAAUCUCAGCUUUUCAAGGAUAAAUUUACAGGGGGUUUUAGAAACAGCAAGACUCCGAGGAUGUGCACGGAAAACAAGCCAUGGGCACCUUCAGCCACGGUUUUCAGGCCCAAAUCCAGAAGCUGAAGUCAGAGAAGCUGAAAUUAAAUUAAAUUAAGAUGCCAGCCAGCCCCUGCUCACAUCCCUGCAGCUCCAGCACAUCUGGAAGAGGGAAGAUGGCAGGGACAGAUGACACGGAGCCGAAGGAAAGCAGUGCAGGAAAGAGGGAACAUUGCUCACAGGAGUUAUUUAUGAUCCACCAGGAAAGCAGUGCAGGAAAGAGGGAACAUUGCUCACAGGAGUUAUUUAUGAUCCACCAGGAAAGCGAGGAGAUACACAGCCUGGGACUCCCUGGGGAUCUGUCCCAGGCCUGGUACUGCUCAAAAUAUUUUUUUAAUAAUUACUUGCAUGAAUAGAAAAUUUGCUUCUUACAGCUGCAAAUGAUACCGAGCCGGGAGGGACUCGAAGCUCUUUGGAGGAUGGGCUGGGACUUCAAAACAAUCCUGACGCAGUAGAGAAUUAGCCUGGAAAAAAAAAACAACAAACUAGUCUGCAAUUUGGGAGAAACAAAGGGAAAAUGCUGCUUGUGUAAGAGGAGCUGGGCUGCAGAGCACGGGCUGGGAAGGGAAUGGGGGAGCAGGGAUGUGGCAGAGGUGUCACAGCCCUGCCUGGGAUGAGCAGAACUCCUUAUUCUGCAGGAAAAGCAGCAAAGCAUAGGCAAGGGCAGGUGAGUGUUGCCUGCAGGACACACAGAGUGGUAAUUUAGGUCCUUGUGGCUCCAUGGAUCCUCACCAGCAGUGGGUUGUCUCCACAGAUAUGAGGAUUUGGGGGGUUGUGGGCUGGAGGUGGAUCCAGGCUGGUGGUCCAGGGGUUGAUCAAUCACAGAAGCUGGAAAAAGAAAUCAAAACAAACUCACCCAAACUACAAAACCCCCUCAAACUCUCCCAAAAUAAUCAAAGGACUUGAAGUUAUUUAUUGCAGAGAAGACCAUAUUUGGGCAAGAGCUACCUUGCUAUCUUCGACCUUUUACAAAUAUUUAAGGCAGUCUGUUCCCUUAUAUUUGAAUAUUUACAGUGGCCUGGAGGGACAGGACAAGGAGAAAUGGAUUCACGCUGCCAGAGGGCAGGGUUAGAUGGGAUACUGGGGAGGAAUUCUUCCCUGUGAGGGUGCUGAGGGGUUGGAAUAGAAUUCCCAGAGGAGCUGUGGCUGUCCCUGGAUCCCUGGAAGUGUUCAAGGCCAGGUUGGACAGGGUUUGGAGAAGCCUGGGAUAGUGGAAGGUGUCCCUGCCAUGGCAGGGGGUGGCAGUGGAUGAGCUUUAAGGUCCCUUCCAACCCAAACCAUUCUGAGAUUCUCAGAUUUAAUGAGAAGGAAAUUAGUUGUUCUCUUCCUCUCUGUGACCAGCAGUGAUGGGCUUAU